UGGCGUUGACUGGCAGUCAGCUGCUCCGGGUCAGCUCAGCUCUCUCCCUGUGGUCGCUUACAUCCCUUCAACAGGCUGACCUAGACAUGUUUUCAGUAGAUCACAAAGGAGCAAGAGAAAGAAGUCCAAAAAGUCUCUCCGACUCUCAGUCACCUCUGAACCAUUUAAUUCAAGGAAGCAAGUUACAAGCCAGCCUAUCUUUUAUUUCUGAUCAUAAAGUAAAAGAACUUUGGUGUUUGAAACCUUUAUGUCUUCACUCAGUUUAUAGUGUACCUUUUGUCAGAAUGUCUUCAAAAGGAGUGAAAGAGUGACUGGUGGAGAAAGAAUCUUCUUUGGUAAAGAAACCUGGAUCCAGGUCAUUGUUUGUUUGCAUGCUCAUCCUUCUUACUACAUUGGGUUACUUUCCCUCAGAGAAGAGUUCAGAAAAAAGAGACGAGAAAGAGAAUGGAUCUGAUUGGGGGAAUCUGAUUGUUUCUGGAAAGUGAAGUGCAAGUCUGGUGGUGAAUGUUAAGCGCCACUGGCUACAGCUCUUUGGAGCCAUAUUUCUUGUUCCUGUCAGGCUUCCCUGGUGGCUCAGAUGGUAAGGAAUAUGCCUGCAGUGCAGGAGACCUGGGUUCAAC